CCAAUAGCGUAUAUUAAAGUUGUUGCAGUUAAAAAGCUCGUAGUUGAAUUUCGGGAUCAGAUUGUCGGUCGUGCCUCGGUACGAACUGGUAUUACUGGUUCCUCCCUUCUGAAGAACCGCGAUGUCAUUAAUUUGGUGUCGUGGGGAAUCAGGACUGUUACUCUGAAAAAAUUAGAGUGUUUAAAGCAGGCUUACGCUUGAAUACAUUAGCAUGGAAUAAUGAAAUAGGACGUUUGAUUCUAUUUUGUUGGUUUCUAGGAUCGACGUAAUGAUUAAUAGGGAUAGUUGGGGGCAUUAGUAUUCAAUUGUCAGAGGUGAAAUUCUUGGAUUUAUUGAAGACUAACUACUGCGAAAGCAUUUGCCAAGGAUGUUUUCAUUAAUCAAGAACGAAAGUUAGGGGAUCGAAGACGAUCAGAUACCGUCGUAGUCUUAACCAUAAACUAUGCCGACUAGGGAUCGGAUGAUGUUGAUUUUUUAAUGACUCAUUCGGCGCCUUACG
rnacentral:rRNA from 1 species